rnacentral:rRNA from 1 species
UACGAAGGGUGCAAGCGUUACUCGGAAUUACUGGGCGUAAAGCGUGCGUAGGUGGUGAGUUAAGUCUGUCGUGAAAGCCCCGGGCUCAACCUGGGAAUGGCGAUGGAUACUGGCUCGCUAGAGUGCGGUAGAGGAGAGUGGAAUUCCCGGUGUAGCAGUGAAAUGCGUAGAGAUCGGGAGGAACAUCAGUUGCGAAGGCGGCCCUCUGGACCAGCACUGACACUGAGGCACGAAAGCGUGGGGAGCAAACAGG